CUUUAAAAAGAUGAAUACAAUAUAAUUUUAACAUCCUUCUAAGUUUGUUGAAAUUGUAUCUUGCCUUCCUAUUGACGUGUUUUUUCAUGUCUACCUUCCUAAGUCUUGCUAUGUAAAAAGUCCCAAGGACACUGUUCUUUUGCAAAACUAAUAAAAGCUUUCUUUAAGAUGUUACUCCACAUA